rnacentral:rRNA from 1 species
UUACGAGGUCAGGACACUGUGAGGAUUGACAGAUUGAAAGCUCUUUCUUGAUUCAGUGGGUGGUGGUGCAUGGCCGUUCUUAGUUGGUGGAGUGAUUUGUCUGGUUAAUUCCGUUAACGAACGAGACCUUAACCUGCUAAAUAGUCACGCGAACCGGUCCGCAAGGGCUCAAAGUUCGCGGCUCGACUUCUUAGAGGGACUAUUCGCACCCGCCAGCGAAUGGAAGUUUGAGGCAAUAACAGGUCUGUGAUGCCCUUAGAUGUUCUCGGCCGCACGCGCGUUACACUGACGGAGUCAACGAGCGUUUUUCCUUGCCCGAUAGGGCCGGGUAACCUCAUGAAACUCCGUCGCGAUGGGGAUAGAUCAUUGCAAUUAUUGAUCUUGAACGAGGAAUUCCUAGUAAGCGCGAGUCAUCAACUCGCGCUGAUUACGUCCCUGCCCUUUGUACACACCGCCCGUCGCUCCUACCGAUUGAACGGUCCGGCGAGAACUCCGGAUGGUC